rnacentral:rRNA from 1 species
UCAUGGACGUUGCGUUCGAAAGAUUCAUGAACCUUAUCACUUAGAGGAAGGAGAAGUCGUAACAAGGUUUCCGUAGGUGAACCUGCGGAAGGAUCAUUC